GCCAGCAGCCAUGUCACCCUGCAACUUACAAUUGGCAACCCACUGAAGCUUAGCAGGUGUGAGCCUGGUCAGUACCUGGAUGGGAGACCUCCUGGGAAAAACUAAGGUUGCUGCUGGAA
ensembl:rRNA 5S_rRNA 5S ribosomal RNA